UACGGAGGGUGCGAGCGUUGUCCGGAAUCACUGGGCGUAAAGGGCGCGUAGGUGGCGCGAGUAGUCAACGGUGAAAGCCCGGGGCUCAACCCCGGGUCGGCCGUGCGGACUGCCGGGCUGGAGCACUGUAGAGGCAGGUGGAAUUCCUGGUGUAGCGGUGAAAUGCGCAGAUAUCAGGAGGAACACCGGUGGCGAAGGCGGAUCUCUGGGCCAUUACUGACGCUGAAGAGCGAAAGCGUGGGGAGCGAACAGG
rnacentral:rRNA from 1 species